rnacentral:rRNA from 1 species
GCAAGUCGAGCGCAGUCCUUCGGGACCGAGAGGAGGACGGGUUAGUAACACGUGGGAACGUACCCAGAUCUAAGGAAUAGCCACGGGAAAGUGAGAGUAAUACCUUAUACGCCCUUCGGGGGAUAGAUUUAUCGGAUUUGGAUCGGCCCGCGUUAGAUUAGAUAGUUGGUGGGGUAAUGGCCUACCAAGUCUACGAUCUAUAGCUGGUUUUAGAGGAUGAUC